UGAAUUACUCUCCUCAGGUUGCCAUAACAAAGUGUCACAGACUGGGUGGCUUCGACAAAGGAAAUGUAUUUCUCUCAGUUCUGGAAGCUGAAGGUCAAGAUCCAAGCACCCUCGAUCUUGCAGGGUUCUGCUGUAUUUCUGCUGCCACAAGCCAAGAACCAUGACUGGCCUAGAAACAUACGUUUUCCCUAGCACCUUCGGGGGAAUACGGCACUGACGACACCCUGAUCUCAGACUUCCAGCCUCCAGAAGCCUCCAGAAUGGUUUGGAGGUGUUUGAACCACCCAAGAGAUCGAAUGCCAGGCUCUCCUGAAAAAAAAUUAACACUCUAUAA